AAAUAAAUCCUGGAGUUAUAA
rnacentral:snRNA from 1 species